CAGCCGCCGCGGUAAUACGUAGGUGGCAAGCGUUGUCCGGAAUUAUUGGGCGUAAAGGGCUCGCAGGCGGUUUCUUAAGUCUGAUGUGAAAGCCCCCGGCUCAACCGGGGAGGGUCAUUGGAAACUGGGAAACUUGAGUGCAGAAGAGGAGAGUGGUAUUCCACGUGUAGCGGUGAAAUGCGUAGAGAUGUGGAGGAACACCAGUGGCGAAGGCGACUCUCUGGUCUGUAACUGACGCUGAGGAGCGAAAGCGUGGGGAGCGAACAGGAUUAGAUACCCCCGUAGUCCCUGUCUCUUAUAC
rnacentral:rRNA from 1 species